rnacentral:pre_miRNA from 1 species
AAUAAGUGUAGUUUUGCACUAUUCACAUUCAACGAUUGACCGUCCGUCUUAUUUGAAAAAUUUGUGAAAAAAUUAAAAAUAUUUAGUCACACAUAAAGUACUAUUCAUAUUUUAUUAUCUAAUAGCAAUAAAAAUACUAAUCAUAAAAAAUUUUCAAAUAAGACGGACGGUCAAACGUUGAACGUGAAUAGUGCAAAACUGCACUUAUU